rnacentral:lncRNA from 1 species
GUCGGUCCACUGCGUCCCUUUGGCCCCUCAGGACCAUCCUCUCCCCUGGAACCAGGGACUCCAACCUCGCCCUGUGUGAGAGGGAAGGACAGGGGUCAGGCUCCCAAGAGAACACAGCACUGGAACUGCAGAGUCUGGAGACUCAGGAGAAUAAACUGUUGCUUGGGGUCUCCAGAGUGGAAGCUCAGUAGGACACGGAAUUGGGGCCAGUGUGGAAUCUCUACUCACCCUGUCACCUUUCACGCCUAUGUCACCUUUGAACCCUGGAAAGCCAUCCUCGCCCUAAGAAAGAUAGAGGUUCCAAAACCCAAGAGACAACUCACUGGGAGCAUGAGAGAUGUGCCAGGAGGACCAGGAGCCCCAUCUGAUCCAGGGAGCCCUGC